rnacentral:tRNA from 1 species
GGGGCUUUAGCUCAGCUGGGAGAGCGCCUGCUUUGCACGCAUGAGGCCAGCGGUUCGAUCCCGCUAAGCUCCUACCA